rnacentral:tRNA from 1 species
GCCCGAGUGGUGAAAUUGGUAUACACGACGGAUUCAAAAUCCGUUUCCUUCGGGAGUAGCGGUUCAAGUCCGCUCUCGGGCACCA